rfam:Myotis lucifugus cont2.27084, whole genome shotgun sequence.
GGUGGUUCUCUGGUGAUGCACCCCAGAAACUGGCUCCCUCCUCUCUGGUUCCUGGUGAGUCACCCGAGAACCCCA